AUGCACUCCCCCGAUACUUGUUAGUUUUCCCAUUAGCAAAAUUUCCCUAAUUCCCUCUAUUCCCCCCAAAUCCCUAAAUUUUCCCUAAAUCCAAAUCCCAACCGAUCCGCUGCUGAAGACGCUGACCCUACCACUACUGCAUCACCCUCGACUAACCCCUCUGCUACAGCCGUUAAUUUCCUUAACACGAGACUAUCUUGCUCGUCUUCUCUUCUGGUGUAUGCUAUUGGGACACUCCCUUAGAGGCCUCGAGUACUGUCUGGAACUAAUGGAACUUUUAUCUUUGACAAGUAAUAUCAAGAAUAACGACUGUGGAGGUGACUAGUGAGCACAUCGGUGUGAAAGGGGAACCAAACAUAUCUUACAUCUGUUCUAGAUACUAUCGAGCACCUGAAUUAAUAUUUGGUGCAACUGAAUACACCACAGCCAUUGACAUCUGGUUUGUUGGCUGUGUUUUGACUGAGCUAUUGCUUGGGCAACCUCUAUUUCCUGGUGAGAGUGGAGUAGACCAGCUUGUUGAAAUUAUUAAGG